GAAGUCGACUUUAUAAAUCGUGAGGGUUCAAGUCCCUCGAGACCC
rnacentral:tRNA from 2 species